CUCGAUGACGAGUCUGACGGAGCACGCCGCGUGAGCGAUGAAGGCCUUCGGGUCGUAAGCUCUGUUGUUAGGGAAGAACAAGUAUCGGAGUAACUGCCGGUACCUUGACGGUACCUAACCAGAAAGCCACGGCUAACUACGUGCCAGCAGCCGCGGUAAUA
rnacentral:rRNA from 1 species